rnacentral:rRNA from 1 species
GACGAACGCUGGCGGCGUGCUUAACACAUGCAAGUCGUACGGUAAGGCCCUUUCGGGGGUACACGAGUGGCGAACGGGUGAGUAACACGUGAGUAACCUGCCCACAACUUUGGGAUAACGCUAGGAAACUGGUGCUAAUACUGGAUAUGUGCUCCUGCUGCAUGGUGGGGGUUGGAAAGCUCCGGCGGUUGUGGAUGGACUCGCGGCCUAUCAGCUUGUUGGUGGGGUAGUGGGCUACCAAGGCGGCGACGGGUAGCCGGCCUGAGAGGGUGACCGGCCACAUUGGGACUGAGAAACGGCCCAGACUCCUACGGGAGGCAGCAGUGGGGAAUAUUGCACAAUGGGCGCAAGCCUGAUGCAGCAACGCCGCGUGCGGGAUGACGGCCUUCGGGUUGUAAACCGCUUUCAGCAGGGACGAAGCUUUUUGUGACGGUACCUGCAGAAGAAGCACCGGCUAACUACGUG